rnacentral:rRNA from 1 species
AUGGAAGACAACUGCUUGAUUUGGAACGUUAGGGGCUUGAACAACCCAGCUCGUAGGAAGGUAGUCAAGGAUCUAGUGUAUCGGAACAAUGUAUCCUUAGUGUGUCAGCAAGAAACAAAAUUAGCAAUGAUUGAUCUGAGCCUGGUGCAUCAAUGUUGUGGAGCUAGUUUCAACGAGUUUGCAUUCCUCCCGGCGCUGGGAACUCGCGGAGGUGUACUAAUCGCCUGGAAAGGCGACCACUUCACUUUCCCUGCAAUUGAUAUUCAGAACCAUUUUGUGGCUGUGUUGGGGCCAACUGCUUCGGGCUUGCCAAUGGCCGUGAUCGCGGUCUAUGGACCGCAGGGUGAUGAUGACAAGAUAUCUUUCCUCCAAGAGCUGAAACAGGCGUACAGAACUUCAUUCCAGCUGGCACCCCUCUCGCGGUCCUUGGCGACUUCAAUCUCAUCGCACGGGCUGCGGAUAAGAGCAACUCUAGGAUCAACCGAAGAUGCCUCACUGCAUUCAGAAACUUCCUCAACGAACUCCAAUUUAAAGACAUGUACCUCCACGGGCGACGGUACACUUGGUCUAACAAGCAAGCAAAUGCAACGCUGGUGA